AUUGAACGCUGGCGGCAUGCCUUACACAUGCAAGUCGAACGGCAGCAUGGAGAGCUUGCUCUCUGAUGGCGAGUGGCGAACGGGUGAGUAAAGCAUCGGAACGUACCGUGUAGUGGGGGAUAACGUAGCGAAAGUUACGCUAAUACCGUAUACGCACUGAGGUGGAAAGCAGGGGAUCGUAAGACCUUGCGCUAUACGAGCGGCCGAUGUCAGAUUAGCUAGUUGGUAGGGUAAAGGCCUACCAAGGCGACGAUCUGUAGCGGGCCUGAGAGGAUGAUCCGCCACACUGGGACUGCGACACGGCCCAGCCUCCUACGGGAGGCAGCAGUGGGGAAUUUUGGACAAUGGGGGCAACCCUGAUCCAGCCAUGCCGCGUGAGUGAAGAAGGCCUUCUGGUUGUAAAGCUCUUUCGGCCGGGAAGAAAUCGCACAGGCUAAUACCCUGUGUGGAUGACGGUACCGGCAUAAGAAGCACCGGCUAACUACGUGCCAGCCGCCGCCGUAA
rnacentral:rRNA from 1 species